UCUAUGAUUAUCUUUUCAUCAAAAUCCUUCAACAUUCGGCCUCUUGUUUCUUGUGCUAGAGCUACAAUUACAGAUAAAACAGUAGGUUUACUAGUAUUUAGUAGGCCUUGUUUUACUUGUUUUAUUAUACCACUUAAGUGGGAUUAUCUUCACUCUGAUAUUUAGGCCAAUACUAUCACAUAGGAAACUUGAAAUUUUUUUUGUCCUCAAUUUCUUU
rnacentral:misc_RNA from 1 species